rnacentral:rRNA from 1 species
GACGAACGCUGGCGGCGUGCUUAGCACAGGGAAGUGGAAGGGAAAGGCCCGGCGUGUGUGGGGUGCUCGAGUGGCGGACGGGUGAGUAACACGUGAGUAGCCUGCCCUUGACUUUGGUGGAACUUCAGGGAACUAGGGCGAAUACCGGAUCGCAGCGCCUGCUGCAUAGAGGGGAUUUGAAAGUUGCGGCGGUUGGGGAUGGACUGGCGGCUGAUCAGCGUGUUGGUGGGGUAGUGGCUUACCAAGGCUUUGACGGGUAGCCGGCCUGAGAGGGUGACCGGCCACAUUGGGACUGAGCUACGGCCCAGACUCCUACGGGAGGCAGCAGUGGGGAAUAUUGCACAAUGGGCGGAAGCCUGAUGCAGCAACGCCGCGUGCGGGAUGACGGCCUUCGGGUUGUAAACCGCUUUCGCCUGUGACGAAGCGUGAGUGACGGUCCUGGGUAAAGAAGCAACGGCUAACUACGUG